rnacentral:rRNA from 1 species
CGGCGGACGGGUGAGUAACGCGUGGGUAACCUACCCUGUACACACGGAUAACAUACCGAAAGGUAUGCUAAUACGGGAUAAUAUAUUUGAGAGGCAUCUCUUGAAUAUCAAAGGUGAGCCAGUACAGGAUGGACCCGCGUCCGAUUAGCUAGUUGGUAAGGUAACGGCUUACCAAGGCGACGAUCAGUAGCCGACCUGAGAGGGUGAUCGGCCACAUUGGAACUGAGACACGGUCCAA